rnacentral:rRNA from 1 species
GUGUCAGCCGCCGCGGUAAGACGAACCGUGCGAACGUUGUUCGGAAUCACUGGGCUUAAAGGGCGCGUAGGCGGAUCAGCAAGUCCGGGGUGAAAUACUUCAGCUUAACUGGAGAAGUGCCUUGGAUACUGCUGGUCUCGAGGGAGGUAGGGGUCAUUGGAACUUCUGGUGGAGCGGUGAAAUGCGUUGAUAUCAGAAGGAACGCCGGUGGCGAAAGCGAAUGACUGGAUCUCUUCUGACGCUGAGGCGCGAAAGCUAGGGGAGCGAACGGGAUUAGAUACCCCCGUAGUCC